GGGCCUGUAGCUCAGCUAGGUAGAGCAGCCGGCUCUUAACCGGUUGGUCGCGGGUUCGAAUCCCGCCAGGCCCA
rnacentral:tRNA from 1 species